CAAUGUGGCUCAGUCGGUAGAGCAGCUGAUUCGUAAUCAGCAGGUCAAGGGUUCGAGUCCGGUCAGU
rnacentral:tRNA from 1 species